rnacentral:rRNA from 1 species
CCUUGACGGUACCUAACCAGAAAGCCACGGCUAACUACGUGCCAGCAGCCGCGGUAAUACGUAGGUGGCAAGCGUUGUCCGGAAUUAUUGGGCGUAAAGCGCGCGCAGGCGGUUUCUUAAGUCUGAUGUGAAAGCCCCCGGCUCAACCGGGGAGGGUCAUUGGAAACUGGGGAACUUGAGUGCAGAAGAGGAGAGUGGAAUUCCACGUGUAGCGGUGAAAUGCGUAGAGAUGUGGAGGAACACCAGUGGCGAAGGCGACUCUCUGGUCUGUAACUGACGCUGAGGCGCGAAAGCGUGGGGAGCGAACAGGAUUAGAUACCCUGGUAGUCCACGCCGUAAACGAUGAGUGCUAAGUGUUAGAGGGUUUCCGCCCUUUAGUGCUGCAGCAAACGCAUUAAGCACUCCGCCUGGGGAGUACGGUCGCAAGACUGAAACUCAAAGGAAUUGACGGGGGCCCGCACAAGCGGUGGAGCAUGUGGUUUAAUUCGAAGCAACGCGAAGAACCUUACCAGGUCUUGACAUCCUCUGACAACCCUAGAGAUAGGGCUUCCCCUUCGGGGGCAGAGUGACAGGUGGUGCAUGGUUGUCGUCAGCUCGUGUCGUGAGAUGUUGGGUUAAGUCCCGCAACGAGCGCAACCCUUGAUCUUAGUUGCCAGCAUUCAGUUGGGCACUCUAAGGUGACUGCCGGUGACAAACCGGAGGAAGGUGGGGAUGACGUCAAAUCAUCAUGCCCCUUAUGACCUGGGCUACACACGUGCUACAAUGGGCAGAA